AUCUUCCAAGCUCGGUGCAGGGGAGAAAAGAAAAACGCACGACCAGAGUUCAAAAGUCUUGAGCUAAAUUUGAUCGAGAUUUGAGCUAAUUGGCGAAUUAGUCCUUGACGUUUUGUGUGUCGCUAUUUUUGUCAGAAUCCGAUAGGACUCGGUC